CACGUAGUUGGCCGGUGCUUCUUCUCCAGGUACCGUCACUUUCGCUUCGUCCCUGGUGAAAGAGGUUUACAACCCGAAGGCCGUCAUCCCUCACGCGGCGUCGCUGCAUCAGGCUUGCGCCCAUUGUGCAAUAUUCCCCACUGCUGCCUCCCGUAGGAGUCUGGGCCGUGUCUCAGUCCCAGUGUGGCCGGUCGCCCUCUCAGGCCGGCUACCCGUCGUCGCCUUGGUAGGCCAUUACCCCACCAACAAGCUGAUAGGCCGCGGGCCCAUCCCAAACCGCCGGAGCUUUCCACCACAAACAUGCAUUCCGUGGUCAUAUUCGGUAUUAGACCCAGUUUCCCAGGCUUAUCCCAAAGUUUGGGGCAGAUCACCCACGUGUUACUCACCCGUUCGCCACUAAUCCACCAGCAAGCUGGCUUCAUCGUUCGACUUGCAUGUGUUAAGCACGCCGCCAGCGUCGUCCUCGUAGCCACGGAGUCGAACCUAC
rnacentral:rRNA from 1 species